rnacentral:rRNA from 1 species
CAAUAGCGUAUAUUAAAGUUGUUGCAGUUAGAACGCUCGUAGUCGGAUUUCGGGGCGGGCCGACCGGUCUGCCGAUGGGUACGCACUGGUCGGCGCGUCCUUCCUUCCGGAGACCGUGCCUACUCUUAACUGAGCGGGGACGGGAGACGGAACGUUUACUUUGAAAAAAUCAGAGUGUUUCAAGCAGGCAGCUCGCUCUUGCAUGGAUUAGCAUGGGAUAAUGAAAUAGGACUUUGGUGCUAUUUUGUUGGUUUCGAACACCGAAGUAAUGAUGAGAAGGGACAGUCAGGGGCACUCGUAUUCCGCCGAGAGAGGUGAAAUUCUCAGACCAGCGGAAGACGAACCACUGCGAAANCANNNGCCAGGGAUGUUUUCACNGA